rnacentral:rRNA from 1 species
UACGUAGGGGGCAAGCGUUGUCCGGAUUUAUUGGGCGUAAAGAGCGUGUAGGCGGUUCGGUAGGUCCGUUGUGAAAACUCGAGGCUCAACCUCGAGACGCCGAUGGAAACCAUCGAACUAGAGUCCGGAAGAGGAGAGUGGAAUUCCUGGUGUAGCGGUGAAAUGCGCAGAUAUCAGGAAGAACACCCGUGGCUAAGGCGGCUCUCUAGUACGGUACUGACGCUGAGACGCGAAAGCGUGGGGAGCGAACGGG